rnacentral:rRNA from 1 species
AACGAACGCUGGCGGCAUGCCUAACACAUGCAAGUCGAACGAGACCUUCGGGUCUAGUGGCGCACGGGUGCGUAACACGUGGGAAUUUGCCUCGGGGUAUGGAAUAACUCAGGGAAACUUGAGCUAAUACCAUAUAAUGUCUUCGGACCAAAGAUUUAUCGCCCUGAGAUAAGCCCGCGUAGGAUUAGCUAGUUGGUGAGGUAAAGGCUCACCAAGGCGACGAUCCUUAGCUGGUCUGAGAGGAUGAUCAGCCACACUGGGACUGAGACACGGCCCAGACUCCUACGGGAGGCAGCAGUGGGGAAUAUUGGGACAAAUGGGCGAAAGCCUGAUCCAGCAAUGCCGCGUGAGUGAUGAAGGCCUUC